GGAGGAAGCCCUUUCUCAUAACUGUGAUGAUCCAAAAGAGUUUCGGUUAUUGCUUUAUGAUAUGAGGUGAUUAUUCUUAUGUCUUUCUGAAGACGUUAAACUCAGUACUUCUUGGGAGGUAACCCAUGCUCAUGCAAUACGGUGUUUUUGAAGAAAUAAGCUUUUGCGGUGAACAAUUGGCUCGAAAAGUACCAUUGAGAAAGUAUUAAAUGCACCCAGAUAAGUUGUUGAAUGCAACCUGAAAAGCACUACUUACGCCCCAGAAAUUACUUUCUGCACCCUAGUUGCUAAAGGGAGACCAGCCACGGAUAAGGAGGAGGUCAUCUUCCUCAUUUGAAUUUCUGGUUUUGGCGGGAGAAUUUGAUUUUCACGGCUAAAAUUAGGAUUCGAUUUUGGGUGACUUAUGGACAUAUUCAAUCGUUGUAAUCAAUUGCAAUAGGCCUAUUUUAGUUAAACAGGGAUUAUAUGGUGAUUAGAUUCAAACAACUUGGCUGUAACAACGAAGUUGAAGAAAACAGGGGAGAAUGACUUCUCGGGUUUGUUUUGAUUUGUGUGAGAUGUUUCGUUGGAGAUUAAAUCGUUGUUUUGUCGUGGGCUGGACCUGUUAGAGCAUAAAGGUUAUGGUAUGGCUGUUGGAAUCAAUUGGAAUUGGCUAUAUUAUCGGAAUUUUAUAAAACAUGGAAAAAUAUUAUCGGGUUUCCUAUUUCGAUUUCUUGUGAAUGAUAUUUACGUGGAGAUAAGGGAAUAUUAUUAUCUAUUUGAUUUGACGAUAUCCCUAAGAGAGUCUGGAACGUUUGAUUUGGCUUGGAGGAUGCGUAAAAGAAGAUUUGAAGAGAUAUUAUCGUAUCUUGGCAGCAAAGAAAUAAAGUAAUUAAAACAAAAAUAUUCUCGGGAUUUUGAGACCCCGUUGUGUAUAAAUAGAGACUAUAGAGGCCAGAGAAGGGGUAUCGAUAGUUUGGGGACCGAACGGAGGGUCUGGAGGAGCUACAGAGCAAAAAUCAAGAGUUGCGGGAGUUUUCAUCAUCAACAGGGAGGAGAAGAAGAAAACCAAAGAACAACAGAUAAACACAGUCGCAGAAAACUAUUGCCUAUUCUUUCAAAUUCAAUACCUUUGUAGCAAUAUUGAACAAUUAACAGAGUUAGCAACACUGCUGUUAGGGUUUCUCUGUAAUAGUGAGUUCUGUAACAAUUAUAUCUGUUACAAACUCGC